ACUUCCUUUUCUGCCAUCAGAUAAACCCAGAGCAGCUGGUUGUACCUGCCCACCACUCGUGUCACCCUCCGAGCGGCGAAGAGGCCUCGUGACCUCGUGGCAACUCUGCUCCUCAUCCCAGUCCAUGGCCAAGCCAUGAUUUUUGCAGGAUGCCAUUGGAAUUUUCACUGCUGGCUCACUGAGUGCCCCAGGACACAGCAUUUAACAAUUCUGGUUCUUCUAACCCCAAAUCUGACGAAUAUUUGGAUUUCUCCACUUAAACCCUGCAGUUUUCACCCAACUGCCACUUGAAUUCUGGUUCCUUUUAACUCAUCAUUUACCCAAGGAAGGUUUAUUAAGGCUGCAUCCCCACCUUUGGAAGGCACAUGGACUGGAAAACAUCCAGGCACUGAGACUUUUCCCAAGGAAGGAUGAGAGGGAAGCCACAUAAACCAAGCAUGAAGUUUUAAGUGGGAGCUUUAGAGACAUCAAAGAGCUUUGCAGACAAAAUUAUUCUAAUUCUCUCGAUACAGACCCCAGGUAAGUCUUUGACCUGCACCUAAAAAUGUGCAAAAGAUGGGCUUGGGACAAGGUUCAGCAGCCACACAGGGAUGGGGUUGAUGGGGAGAGAAGGGUUUGGGACUGUCAUCAACCAGGGAUUUCCUAUGGAAAUCUCCUGCCUGUGCAACCAAAUGGCUCCAGGAAUUAACCCAGCACAGGCACACAAAUGCAAAUCCACUCAUUUCUCCUCCAAAAUACCGGGGCUUGGGCUUGUCCCAGGCAAAAAUUGUUGUGUCUUGGAGCUCCAGCUGCAGGAAAAUCGAGCUGGGAUGGAAGAGGCAGCUGCUCAGAAGCACAGCUGGUCCUAGAACUGACCUCCAAAAAACUGGGAUACCCUGGCAGGAGAAGUCAGUCUGACACAACUCAAGGUUUCCAAGGCCUCCCUUGAGUUAGUUCUGAGGACAAGUUGUGUUUCAGGGGAAUUCUUUUGCCAGUUGGGCUAAUUAGGAGGAUAAUUUGUUGUUUCAUGAGCUACAUCUUUCAUGGGAAAUAUGAGUGUGUUUCCUUCAUAACAAGGAGAAAACAUUUCACUUGUUUUUCUACUUUCGUGACACUGAUGAGGAUGUUCUGAAAACUCCCUUGAAAGGGGAUGACUCUAAAUAUCCAACAACAUUUAGGAAGCCAGGGUUUUAAUUAUUUUUAAAUUCUUUUGUUCAAAAUGUUCUGUCACUGAACAGAGGUGGAACUGAGCAUCACUUCUGUCUGAAAUAUUGAACUUCAAUAUUUCAGACCCAAGUUGUGUCUUUGCCUGGGUCCACAUCAAAAAUGGAAUUUCUGGCAGCAAAUGCCCCAAAGAUCUGGGCUGAGGGACCUGCAAUCACUCACUCGUGGUGCCCACCUGGGAUGUCCCUGCAAGGGGUGGAUGACCUUGG